ensembl:lncRNA
UUGUGAUUGGCCCCGCUUGCAGAUAGGGGGAGAUCGUGAACGUCAGGUCUCCCCAGUAUGAAAAUGUGAUGCAAGGGAUUUUACCAUCGACAGCCAUCAACAUCAUCAAGCCCUGCACAACUAACAUGCUGUUUCCUAUUUAAUAACAGUUAUUUACACAUGUUAUAUUUUGUAUUGUAUUUUGUUUAGCCCCGUAUGAAAAUGUGAUGCAAGGGAUUUUACCAUCGACAGCCAUCAACAUCAUCAAGCCCUGCACAACUAACAUGCUGUUUCCUAUUUAAUAACAGUUAUUUACACAUGUUAUAUUUUGUAUUGUAUUUUGUUUAGCCCCCGUAUGAAAAUGUGAUGCAAGGGAUUUUACCAUCGACAGCCAUCAACAUCAUCAAGCCCUGCACAACUAACGUGCUGUUUCCUAUUUAACAACAGCAGAUAAUAAGUAAUGCUCAACUGGGACCACAGGGUGGGGUGAUUUAUUUGGAUAAAACACAACGCAAGUAGAGUACGACUAACAUCUGUUACAUUUGUAUGCAUGUGUCUGUGCCGAUGUUGCUUCAAAGUCCCAACUGUGCCAUAAGGUGUCUUUUUUUUUCUUCCUGUUUUUAAAUCAAAUUUUACUGCUUGGAUGAGUUACUUGAUUCCAUUUAGUCAUGGCUCUGUCUAUGUAGUACUGUGCGCAUCCCAUAGUCUGUUCUAGACUUGGGGGCUGUGUAGAGACCUCUGGUGGCAUCAAAUAAAAUGUUAUUGGUCACAUACACAUGGUAAGCAGAUGUUAUUGUGAGUGUAGCGAAAUGCUUGUGCUUCUAGUUCUGACAGUGCAGCAAUAUCUAACAAGUAAUAUCUAACAAAUACCUAAUACACACAUCUAAGUAAGGAAUGGAAUAAGAAUAUAUAACUAUAUGGAUGAGCAAUAUCAGAGCGGCAUAGGCUAAGAUGCAAUAGAUAGUAUAGAAUACAGUAUAUACAUAUGAGAUGAGUAAUGCAAGAUAUGUAAACAUUUUUAAAGUGACUAGUGUUCCAUUUAUUAAAGUGGCCAGUGCUUACAAGUCUGUAUGUAGGCAGCAGCCUCACUGGAAGUCUGGUAAGCACAGACCACAGUAAGGAUGGCCACGUUUGCUCAAUGUGUUCCACCUACCUACUCAAAGAUGUGUGGAGAUUGUGGAACAAAUAAUGUAUAUUCUAAAGGGAAAGGAUUUGAUCACAUGAUAGGUUGUUUUUUCUGUUUUUCUUCCAUGUGAAUACCAGGCUGCUGUGGUGUGGGCCUAUGGGUGUCUGUCUAUCAACUUCCAGCAACACCUGAUAUGCAAGACAAGCUUCUAAAAAUCACAUCAGGUGGUACGACAGACAUAUAUUUAUGUUAACGUUGUGCCACUUGAUUAUGUUAUUUUUUAUUGAUUAGUCUCAAUUAUAACCCAUAUGUUGCCUUCUUUUUUAGCACUAUUAAAGAUCUAUUCCAUUGGAAUUCCUAAAAUCACUGUGGUAAGUGCAAUUCCAGUCAGUCAGUAAACGGUGACAAACAAACAAGGGGAUCAUCCUAAUAGUCUUAUUGGCUAUGCUCUCUUGUCCUUCUUUUAAU